rnacentral:rRNA from 1 species
UAACGGCCGCGGUAUUUUGACCGUGCGAAGGUAGCGUAAUCACUUGUCUUUUAAAUAGAGACCUGUAUGAAUGGCAUAACGAGGGCUAAGCUGUCUCCUUUCUCCCGUCAAUGAAAUUGAUCUGCCCGUGCAGAAGCGGGCAUAAAUACAUAAGACGAGAAGACCCUAUGGAGCUUUAGACACCAAGACAGUCCGCGUUAAGAACCCCCAGCCAAAGGGAAUAAACCAGACGAACCCUGCUUUUUUGUCUUUGGUUGGGGCGACCGCGGAGAAAAACCAAACCCCCGCGUGGAAUGGGACCUUCCCUUAAAACAAGGCCCACAGGCCUAAGAUCCAGAAAAUCUGACCAUGGAGAUCCGGCAAUGCCGAUCAACGGACCCAGUUACCCUAGGGAUAACAGCGCAAUCCCCUUUUAGAGCUCACAUCGACAAGGGGGUUUACGACCUCGAUGUUGGAUCAGGACCUCCUAAUGGUGCAGCCGCUAUUAAGGGUUCGUUUGUUCAACGAUUAAAGUCCUACGUGAUCUGAGUUCAGACCGGAGAAAUCCAGGUCAGUUUCUAUCUAUGAUAGCGCU